rnacentral:rRNA from 1 species
UACAGAGGGUGCAAGCGUUGUUCGGAAUUACUGGGCGUAAAGCGCGUGUAGGCGGCCUGUUAAGUCUCGUGUGAAAGCCCUGGGCUCAACCCAGGAAGUGCGCGGGAAACUGGCAGGCUGGAGUGCCGGAGAGGAUGGUGGAAUUCCCGGUGUAGAGGUGAAAUUCGUAGAUAUCGGGAGGAACACCUGUGGCGAAGGCGGCCAUCUGGACGGUAACUGACGCUGAGACGCGAAAGCGUGGGUAGCAAACAGG